GAUGAACGCUGGCGGCGUGCCUAAUACAUGCAAGUCGAGCGAACGGACGAGAAGCUUGCUUUUCUGAUGUUAGCGGCGGACGGGUGAGUAACACGUGGAUAACCUACCUAUAAGACUGGGAUAACUUCGGGAAACCGGAGCUAAUACCGGAUAAUAUUUUGAACCGCAUGGUUCAAAAGUGAAAGACGGUCUUGCUGUCACUUAUAGAUGGAUCCGCGCUGCAUUAGCUAGUUGGUAAGGUAACGGCUUACCAAGGCAACGAUGCAUAGCCGACCUGAGAGGGUGAUCGGCCACACUGGAACUGAGACACGGUCCAGACUCCUACGGGAGGCAGCAGUAGGGAAUCUUCCGCAAUGGGCGAAAGCCUGACGGAGCAACGCCGCGUGAGUGAUGAAGGUCUUCGGAGUGUAAAACUCUGUUAUUAGGGAAGAACAUAUGUGUAAGUAACUGUGCACAUCUUGACGGUACCUAAUCAGAAAGCCACGGCUGACUACGUG
rnacentral:rRNA from 1 species